rnacentral:rRNA from 1 species
UACGUAGGGACCAAGCGUUGUUCGGAUUUACUGGGCGUAAAGGGCGCGUAGGCGGCGUGGUAAGUCACUUGUGAAAUCUCUGAGCUUAACUCAGAACGGCCAAGUGAUACUGCUGUGCUCGAGUGUGGAAGGGGCAAUCGGAAUUCUUGGUGUAGCGGUGAAAUGCGUAGAUAUCUGGAGGAACACCGGUGGCGAAGGCGACAUCCUGGACCGGUAGUUGACGCGUGAGGCGCGAAAGCCCAGGGGAGCAAAGCGGGG